AAUGUCGUACACUAUUUCUAUUUUAAAAUUUAUGUGCUUCAUGGACCUGUUAGCAGUGGGUCUCAUAGUACCCUUGUUACCCGCCCACAUACGUCAAAUGGGAGCCAGUCACAUAGCUGUGGGAGCUCUUGGCUCCAUCUAUUCUGGAUUCCAAUUAUGCUCUGGACCCGUUGUGGGUAGCCUAAUUGAUUUAAAAGGACGAAACAUCAUGAUAUUGUCAUUGAUGUUGUCGGGUGUAGCUUAUGCAGUAACGGGCAUCACCUCUUCAAUUACUGUUAUAUUUCUUAUGAGAGUUGUGUUAGGUAAGGAAUUAGAUAAGAACUA